rnacentral:rRNA from 1 species
GACGAACGCUGGCGGCGUGCUUAACACAUGCAAGUCGAACGGUAAGGCCCUUCGGGGUACACGAGUGGCGAACGGGUGAGUAACACGUGGGUGAUCUGCCCUGCACUUCGGGAUAAGCCUGGGAAACUGGGUCUAAUACCGGAUAGGACCACUGCCUGCAUGGGUGGUGGUGGAAAGCUUUUGCGGUGUGGGAUGGGCCCGCGGCCUAUCAGCUUGUUGGUGGGGUGAUGGCCUACCAAGGCGACGACGGGUAGCCGGCCUGAGAGGGUGACCGGUCAACCUGGGACGGGGGUACGGCCCGGACCCCGCCGGGAGGCAGCAGUGGGGAAUAUUGCACAAUGGGCGCAAGCCUGAUGCAGCGACGCCGCGUGAGGGAUGACGGCCUUCGGGUUGUAAACCUCUUUCAGCUAUGACGAAGCGCAAGUGACGGUAGUAGCAGAAGAAGGACCGGCCAACUACGUGCCAGCAGCCGCCGUAA